AGGGUGUAAACGCUGCAGACUUGGUGUUGGAGGCCCUUUGGGGGCAUUCAGUGCCGGAGAGAAGUUGUUAAGUCUGCUACUUGGGAGUACGUCCGCAAGGAUGAAACUUAAAGGAAUUGGCGGGGGAGCACCGCAACGGGAGGAGCGUGCGGUUUAAUUGGAUUCAACACCGUAAACUCACCAGGGAAGACUGUUACAUGAAGGCCGAGAUGAAGACUCUGCUAGAUUUUCAGAGAGGAGGUGCAUGGCGUCAGUGACU
rnacentral:rRNA from 1 species